rnacentral:rRNA from 1 species
AAUCAACGCUGGCGGCGUGCCUAACACAUGCAAGUCGAACGCGAAAGGGGCUUCGGCCCUGAGUAGAGUGGCGAACGGGUGAGUAACACGUGGGUGAUCUACCUUCGAGUGGGGGAGUAACGUUCCGAAGGAGCGCUAAUACCGCAUGACGUUCUGGGUUUGUAAGGCCUGGAAACCAAAGACCGGGGACCGGCAAGGCCUGGCGCUAGAAGAGGAGCCCGCGCCUGAUUAGCUAGUUGGUGAGGUAAUGGCUCACCAAGGCAACGAAUCAGUAGCCGGCCUGAGAGGGCGGA